UACGGGGGGGCAAGCGUUGUUCGGAAUUACUGGGCGUAAAGGGUUCGUAGGUGGCUUGUUAAGUCAGACGUGAAAUCCCUCAGCUUAACUGGGGAACUGCGUCUGAGACUGGUGAGCUUGAGUGCAGGAGAGGAACGCGGAAUUCCAGGUGUAGCGGUGAAAUGCGUAGAUAUCUGGAGGAACACCGGUGGCGAAGGCGGCGUUCUGGACUGCAACUGACACUGAUGAACGAAAGCCAGGGGAGCAAACGGG
rnacentral:rRNA from 1 species